GGUGAACAAAUUUGACCAUAACAAGGUACCCUUUUUUCUCCCAUUAUAAGCACCCCUUUAGCACCAUUCACUCGUGACUUUUUCACGACUCACAAAAACCACAUGGACAUAAAAAACUCCAUGGACUAUUACUACAUGUUUAGAGGCUAGUUCCCCAGGAUCUAUACCACUGUGAAAGACGUCCACGAGCAGACUCAUGAUGAUGAACACCACCUUUGGCGCAAAUACGAGACCCUCGAUGAAGCAGAUCACGCUUGACUCCUAUACUUUGGCGACAGGAACCAUGAGAGAGGUAUCAGGUGUAUGAACAAGGGAGAUGCGCCAGAACUUGUCUAGCUUGACUACCACUGGGAAGCAGAAUAUCUCACGCUCUAAGCAAUGGAGGAUUGUUACAAAAUAGAGCUGCAAGCUCCACCCAUUCCUUACAUCCGUAAGUAACCAUACACAUAGGGUGUAAGUUACUGAAUCGGACCGAAAUUUACUAUAAAAUCGAACCAAAAUUUACAACAACCGAAUAAAAAACCAAAAAAAAUUAGUUUUUUUAUUUUUUUCGAAUUAAACCGAUCGGUUUGGUUCAAUUUUCGGUUGGCACAACAGGAACCGAACCAAACCGAAGAAUUAGUUCAGAAAUGCUUGUUUUUACUAGUUUUCCCUUUAACCUAAUAACCAAACCCCAAAUCCCUAAUUUAGCACUCACCACUCAGCGCAGCCACACACAACCCCCAACACAAGGCUUCAAUAACCUCACUUCCAUCUUUCUCCUCCAUGCCUGAGACUCUGAGAGAAUGAGAGCCUAAGAGAGCCAGUGAGUCAGAGAGCUGCCGCCGUCCUUCAAAGUUCAGUCCCAAGUCCUCCAUCGUCACCGUGAAGGACGUCGUCGAUCUCCAUCACACCGUCAUCUAACCGCAAUCUUCACGCCGUCGUCGAUCUUCGUCUGAGCCGUUCUUCUCUGUCACCGAGCAGCAGUCUCCGUCACCGAGCAAACCCUUGAUUCGAGCCCUCUCCUGCAACUCAAUGUCUUCUUCUGAGGUACAGGUGCGAAGGCUUAGUGCGAAAUUACAAGAGCAUAGAAGAUUGAGUUUAUAAGUUAAGUUCUUAGAUUUUAUUUUUUCUCCUCGUUGUUUAUUGUUUUUAGUUUUAGAGGGGAUAGGAUUUGUAUUCGAGUAUCUUGAAAUAAGUCUAUGUAAACAAUGCUAUGUGAAUAUAUAUAUAUCUUUGUGAUUAA